rnacentral:rRNA from 1 species
GAUGAGUUCUCCCUGAGACUUAGAGUCUCCUGAAGGAACGUUGAAGACGACGACGUUGAUAGGCCGGGUGUGUAAGCGCAGCGAUGCGUUGAGCUAACCGGUACUAAUGAACCGUGAGGCUUAACCUUAC